rnacentral:rRNA from 1 species
CCUACGGGAGGCAGCAGUGGGGAAUAUUGCACAAUGGGGGAAACCCUGAUGCAGCGACGCCGCGUGAGUGAAGAAGUAAUUCGUUAUGUAAAGCUCUAUCAGCAGGGAAGAAAAUGACGGUACCUGAGUAAGAAGCCCCGGCUAACUACGUGCCAGCAGCCGCGGUAAUACGUAGGGGGCAAGCGUUAUCCGGAUUUACUGGGUGUAAAGGGAGCGUAGACGGCAGUGCAAGUCUGGAGUGAAAGGCGGGGGCUCAACCCCCGGACUGCUCUGGAAACUGUACGGGUGGAGUGGAGGAGAGGGAAGUGGAAGUCCGAGGGUAGGGGGGAAAUGGGGAG